AUUAUAAGAUAAUUUUUGGACUCUUAAUUUGAACACACACACCCAUUAAAAAUCUAUGUUUGAUGGAGGGUAAUUCCAGGGGAGAGCUUCUCCUGGAAGGAUCUUACAGAUUUGAUUGGAUACUGUACAUUAUACUGAGAAGUGUUAACAAUUUCCUCAUCUACUUCAUGGAUUUAAACAUGGUUUGGGCUGGCCCUACAUGUUUUUACAACAAUGUAUAUUACUUUUAUUCUCCACUUUGCCAUCUCUGCAGAUGGAUCAUAUACAUCAACCAGACCAUAAUUCUGAAGUUUUCACUCUCUAACAGUUCCGGGGCAGCUGCUAGCUAUCUGGAAAAAAAAGGUCUGGGAACCAGGGGUGGAGACUUGAGUCAAGCCGACUUGACUUGGAUCCAACCCAGGGACUUAAGUUGCACCGGUGACUUGACUUGAAUCCAACUCAAGCUUUUCUUUCAAUGACUAAGACUCAACUUGGAACCCACCCAUCCACUUUCUUUUCUUUCAAUGACUAAGACUCAACUUGGAACCCACUCAUCCACUUCCUUUUUUUUUUCCCCUGGGGAAAAUAGCUUGUUUUUAAUAGGGACUCAGACCUGGGGCUCAGGACUUGGGACUUGGGACCAAAGACUUGGGACUCAGACUUGGGACUUGGCCAAAAUCCCUGCUGGGAACUCCUCCUUGCUGACCAUAAAAGACUUGGACUUGGGACUUGGACCCUAAAACUGGCCAAAAUCCCUGCUGGGAAUUCCUCCUUGCUGACCAUGAGGAAGAAUGCCACUACUGCUUAUGCUGAAACAAAGAGUCUGGGCUGGCCCUAUCAUCAGGCAAAUGGAGCGGAUCACCCUAGGCAGCAGAUGCAACAUCUGGCUCUUCUGGACUCCACAGCCUUGCCCUGGGCCCCCUGAAACCUGCCUGAUGCCACAGCUGUAACUGGAGGGCACUCCCAGUCAUCACCCAGUGUUGAACUAAGUGAAAACUGCCAGUCCGCCAGAUUACGUAAAAUGAAAUGGGUGAGAGUGCUCCACUUUUUAUUUAGGCAGCAAAAUGUCUUCCGCUAGCCCUGUAAAAAGAGCUAAGGGCAAUACAGCCUUCUCUCAAAGCAGAUGUAAGGAAGAAGCAGACUGGGUAGCAGGUGGAAAGGGAGGUAAGAAGUGAUCAAGCAGAAGGAAGGUGAGGGCUUUCUGUUCACUCCACCCCCAUGUCAUGCAAUAGUUUCAGUCCUUACCAACUUAAUCUUGCAUCAUGUGCUUAUUCGUCAGUCAGUUUGCCUAGUGCCAGCAGCUGCUCCGUUCAGGGAGCUGGCUUCACCGUGGCUGAAAAGUCCUGCCUCCCUGGCAGCCAAAUGCAAAUAGUGAUGACCCACUGACCUUUCUUUCCACACGGCUGGUCACGAAACUUUGGGCUGGAGUAUUUUACUGAUUGUGUCCCAGAUUUGACUUAGCUAUAAUCGUGAUUGCUGCUUUCAUGGUCUGAUGAAAAAGACAGUAUUAAAGACUGCAUUUCUAUCUUACAAUUACUUGCACGUUAGCCGAUAGCAGAAAACUCUGUUUUUGUCAAUAGUCACAGAAAAUCACCCAUGUUAGGCUCUUAAUGGUAGGCAAAUAAACAAACAAACAAAACAAAACA
ensembl:lncRNA